rnacentral:misc_RNA from 1 species
AACGCACCUUGCGCUCCUUGGUACUCCGAGGAGCAUGCCCGUUUGAGUGUCUCGAUAUCAUCAGAAGCCCAUCCCUCUGUGGCUGGUGCUCCUGGACUUGGAUGUGCUGCCGGGCGAUCGCGCCCGGCUCGUCCGAAAUGCAUUAGCGAGAGAUGCAAGCUCUGCCGGCUCUCUUUGGCGUGAUAAGGUCACCCGUCGAGAGGCCCCGGUGGUUAAGGCCUGCAAUCCUUUUGCUUCCAACCGUCCUUUUGGACAACAGCAGACUCUGUCUGACAUCUGACCUCAAAUCGGGUAGGACUACCCGCUGAACUUAA